GGCCUCCUGGUGCUUACCACAGACUGUUCUUACAGUGACUGCAUAAAAAGAGGAAGCAAAGUAAACCUACUCCAUAUACACCUUAGCCUAGACCCUGUGCCUGGUCUUAUUGUGAAUGGGGAGAAAUGG
rnacentral:snoRNA from 1 species